rnacentral:rRNA from 1 species
GCUAGGAUGAACGCUGGCGGCGUGCUUAACACAUGCAAGUCGAACGGAGUUUUAACGGAAGUUUCGGAUGGAAGUUUAGAAACUUAGUGGCGGACGGGUGAGUAACGCGUGGGUAACCUGCCUCAUACAGGGGGAUAACAGUUAGAAAUGACUGCUAACACCGCAUAACAUAGCGAAACCGCAUGAUUUUGCUAUCAAAUAUUUAUAGGUAUGAGAUGGGCCCGCGUCUGAUUAGCUAGUUGGUGGGGUAAAAGCCUACCAAGGCGACGAUCAGUAGCCGGCUUGAGAGAGUGACCGGCCACAUUGGGACUGAGACACGGCCCAAACUCCUACGGGAGGCAGCAGUGGGGAAUAUUGGACAAUGGGGGAAACCCUGAUCCAGCGAACCGCCGCGUGAGUGAAGAAGUAUUUCGGUAUGUAAAGCUCUAUCAGCAGGGAAGAUAAUGACAGUACCUGACUAAGAAGCCCCGGCUAACUACGUGCCAGCCGCAGC